rnacentral:lncRNA from 1 species
AUGUGUAUUGGGAAAAACAAAUUUUUGUCAUUUUGUGCUCCUUUCAAAUAUAAUGGGGGGGCAAAUUCAAAUUAGAAACGAUGGAUCAUGUAUUAGAAACGACAAAAAUCCACACUUUGGACCCAAUUAACUACUUCAGUGUUAGGAGCGAAGAACAUGAUCCCCUUGACCAAUGUCAUUGCUAGCAUCAUGAAAUGAAUAAUCACAGGAAAAAACUUUGGGAUACCUGAUACCACACAAGUCUUUUCCCAAAUCAAGAGUAACCAGACUUGCCCCAUACAUGGCUGCAAAACUUCUUAUCAACACUGAUGCUGUCACUCCAUUGUUAGUGUUGGCAUUCUACAAGGCUUCAGCUUGUAAACCACCAAGCCAUCUUAGUAUGUAUGGUGCUGCGUCCUACCAUGUCACAAUGGUUUUCAUCAAUUCCGUAAUUUUGUCCUUUCCAAGCAUCCAAAUGCACAUCCCCUAUGCAUCCUCCAGUUCAGCUACUUUCUUUACUAAUGUUGCCAGUUGGUUUGCGUCAAAAAUAAAUGUUGGCUGAGACCCUCAACUUGUGAAAUUAAGCUGCUUCCUAUGUUCAGCUUUUUCUGGCACUUUUUGGUCAUUUCAACAGUAUUAUGUUGUUAUUUUUUCAUCUAGCUUGAAGUCCUUUCAAGAUUCCGUCUUCUGUUAGUAUUUUAUUUCCCUACGCUUCCCAGCCUAUUCAUAUUCUUUUUUGCUUGGUGUUUUCAGUGUAGGUACAAUUAGAAAUUUUUAUUUCUUGCUAUAUAAGUUUUUUUCUGUAGCUAGAGGUCAAUGGAGUAUGAAACUAGAGAAGAUAAAGGAGGAGGAGAAGAAGCGAGAAAUCUGGAGCAGGAGAGAGCGCUAUGUUGUGACCAACCACACCUAGUAAGCAGUAAGCAUUUCCAAUAACGGGAAAAAUAAGAAAUUAAAUGCCGAAAUAUACUACAAAUUCUUAUAAUUUUUUUUCCCUUCACCUACAAUAUGUUUGAAUACACUCCUCCUUGGUCCCCAUUAUUUUUUUUUCCCUUUGUUUUGAUCAAGCAUUUGGUGAGAGAUAUGGAAAAGAAAAGGAAAAAGGUAGACGAUCCACUGGUCUGAACGGUUGGAUAACAUUUUCUUUCCAUUCCCCCCACCGCAAUCCUUGAUCCAAAUACAAGCCUUAGUCUACCAUGCCAAUCGUAGUCUCAUGUGUGAAGCAACAAGAUAAUUCAAGAUAAUUGAGAAUUUUAAUGAAAUUUGUGCUUUUGGCUUGUUAUAAAUAAGGGAUUCCUUCAUUUUUGCUCUUAUCCCUUUGGUAAUAUCCUCCAGGUGGUAAGCUCACCUAUUCCUCAAGUGUUCUCUUGUGCUACCUCCUAUUUCUCCAUCAGAGAAAAGUCUAUUCAUUAAUGGAGGACGUCAUUCUGGUCCAAGUUACUGGCUACUGAAUUUGCCAGCUUAUGAAGUAACCGAGAAAAUAACACGUAAAUCCCAAAAUUCGGAUAACACACUAUUUCGCACUCGUACAAGUGUUGUGCAUUAUGUUGAAAAGUAGAUCACUUAGUGUGAAAACAUUUUUACAGCAAAUGCAAACAACAUAUCUGUCUCGUUUUCAUAAAAUUCAACCCUACUGUUCUAUCUUGUAAACUGGAGUGAUCACGACGAUACAAGUAUAUCUACAAAAGGUUUCUUUAUCAAAUAAUAAACAUACCCCAUAAAUGCUGAAGAAAGUUAUUUAGAUAUCAUGCUACAAUGCAAUGCCAACACCAUGACUUCGUAUAAGCACGAGCUAUACUUUUGUUUCUCCAAUGCCCAAAAAAGAAGCAAAAAUAAGGAACUAUUUAAAAGAAGAAGCCAUUUAUUGGCGUGGUCCAGACUAUUCCAAUCCUAAGAGUUGGCGAAAGUACUGAAACAUAUUUCAAGAUUUUAUUAUUUUUUAUUGGUAAUUUUUGUUCAGUGGACCUACUUUAUCUUCUUUCUUCUGCGCUCCAAUAUAGAGUCAUAUUGAAUUCUGCAAUCAUGUUGUCUUUCUAACCAUUAUGACAACUCGCUGGCUAAAACAAUAGAUUACGGCAUCAUAAUUCACGUUAAUCCUGUGAAAACUGGGACAUAUACCUUGCAGAAUGUGCCAUACCUGCAAAUCUUUUACUUUAUCAUCAGCCUUUCCUAGAAUGGAUCCGUCCAGCAAACACUUUCUGUAUUCCAACCUGCUUCGCAAUUGCAUUUGCUGUGGCCCAGUUAUCCCCGGUCCACCAUGAUGCUCGAGAUCCCUCGAGUGAGGAAAGGAUACAACACGUUCAGCCUCUGGCUUCAUUCAUCACCGGACAGUCACAGCAAAAGCUCCAGCAGCCCUCCCAUCAAUGGCAACCAGCACACAAGUACGACCAGUAGUUCAGUAUCUGAAAUGUGGGUUCGCGAUCUCAGAGGACCAAUUGGGACAUUGAAAACCCUCAUGGCUCUUGUUCCCAACCAUACCCUCCUGUCUCCAACUAUUUCCACUCACCCCAUCUCCCAGGGUGAACUUCAAAGUCCUUUCCCACCUCCAUGACAUGUUCAGGUCUUAGACCCAAACGGUCUGGCUAAGCUUCUAAUUUGCAUGCUCUACCACAGCUUGGCCAAAGAUGCUCGCUGUUGACUAAAAGAAGGUUUGUGAGAAAAAUAUAAGUUCAAAUAUCCACAAGCCCUAGCUGUCAAAUGUUAAGUUUACGAUUUGAUUCAUGGUUCAUCAUUCAAAGAUCGAUGGCACAUAUAUGCGUGAAAUUAUUUUUAGAAUUGACGCACUAUAGAAAUUAUGAUUGACGGUUCGAUCACGAUUCGAGUAGCCAAUUUCUGAUUCAUGCAAUUCCGUCGAAACCAACGUUACCCAUACCUUUUAAAUGUAUGAAGUCCAUUUGACUAUUCAAUCAACACUAAAGCAAGGACUGGAUAUAUGUUCGACAUGAAUGGUUCAUACUCACCUAGCAAACCAUUUAGUAAUUAAGUUUACCAUAUCACAUGCUAAAAAACUCUAUUAAGUCCUUGAACACACCAAAUUAACCUAAAAUAAAAGAAGCAUAAUAAGAAUAUGAGCAUUUUGCAUGUCCACAUGUCGUUGAACAUAGGAAUUAUACUAAUUUCCAUACCUAAACACUACGUAAACCCGACUGCUGAGCAUAGCUUGAAACUGUUUGACUUGAAACUGUUGGUCCCAAUAAUUCUGAACCUCCUUUUAACCAUUUUAUACUUUGUGAAAAUGGUCAUAAUAUAACUUCUUAAGUGUUUAGUGCGAAGGAACCAGCACAGGACAGAUGAAUAAUUUUUUUGUUCAAUUUGAUGAUUAAGAAUUUAAUAGGAUUUAGGUCAUAGUCAUCACAUUCUUAAGCAUUUUUCUUAUUGUUUCUAUAAAGGAACAUUGGUCAGAACAAAUCUUCUAAAUGUUUUGUUAAAGAGGAUCGAAAAUCAACCUAAAACACCAGUGGCCUUAUAGGUAAGAGUAGCCUCUAAAAUAUAUAAUACUACUUGAGUGACUCAAGUAAAGUAUUGGGACUUAACAUUUCUAACAUUCGUCCACACGUGGCAGUCCGGAUACACAUGGAUGUGACAACAACAAGCACGGAAACAAUUCGGGCAAAACUUGCCCAUGGUAGCCACCCAAGACCUCCACUCUGAUACCAUGUAAAAAAAAAGAAUGAGAUGGUCCAAUCUAAACCAAUUGGCAAUAUGUGGAGUAGCCUCUAGAUUAUAUAUACUAACUUGGUGGCUUAGUAAGUGAUUGUGCGACUAACACUUCUAACAAUAUUUUAUUGUUAAAAACUCGUACAAUGCAUUAUCUCACCUAUUUUGGUAACCACCACCGUUUUAAUUAUGAUAUCGCGAGAAAAAAUUCUACUUUUCAUCUAUAUCUGCAUCCUUAAGCAUCUGUCCAAGUCCCAUCCUAGGCCUUCCCUGUGAUAAUCACAGCGGGAACUGGGAUCUGACAUUUUUUGAACAAUAAGUACAAAAGACAUCUUCCAACAUGUUUUAUGGGUAGAUUAAAGAGUUCCCACCCACCCCCCCUCUCUGCUUAUUCUAUUAUGUUUAAGGCUCCUUAAGUCCUUGUUGAAUGCAAAAGGAAAAUAUAUUAUUAUUUUAAAAACUCUUAUGGUAAGUCUGAUGUGGACCCAUAUCUGUUAUGAUGAAGGUAGAUGUCUUAGCAAUUGGAUGAUUUAAUCAUGGCCCUACUAUACCAUUUGAUUGGUAGGAUGUGUUAAAAUGAACUUAUUUUAAUUUUCUUUCUUCCAUACAAAUGUGGUUUAUAGUCACUAUUUAUAGUUUAUGGUGAUUUUACGAUUCACAUACGCACAAUACGUGAAAUUAGGAUUUCGAUUCAAACUACCAUUCCGUCGAUAAAUGAUGACUAUACGCUAAGAAAUGAUGAAGUCAAUGAAUUUUUAAAAGUAUUAUAUUUUUCCUCCAUUAUGAGGCUCCAUAAUUCACUCACAUAUAAUUUAAGCAUAUUUAUUGUAGAAUGCGACUCAAAAACUCACAAAUCACUCAUAUAUAUCCUCCGUAAUAAGAAAUUGCUCUUGGGUAUUUGUUAAUCCAUCCUAUAUAUCUCCACAAAUUUCAUGUUCACCUCUUGUACUUCUUUUUGCAAACAAAAUGCAUCACAGCCCAUGUCCUGCUUUUCCUCAAACUCAUAUUCUUAGUGGUGUAGGUGUUUGAGCAAUUGCAAAACUCUUACCACUUAGUUUUUUUUUAAUUAACUCUUAACUCCAUGGCCAUAACACAAAAUCUUUAAUGGUUUUCAUCAACCUUAAACCAACGUCAAAUAGGAGACACCUCAGAGCAGCAAUAGCACGUCGCAUCAUCCUCCAUGGAAAAUUUGGGAAAUAGAAUGGCACUUACUAACCGCGGUUUUCCAACAGUCCAUGUCCUGUUUUAUCACAGAACAACUGUCUUUACCGUGCACCGGACAAUAUACAGAUUCAUUAGAUCUCUACUCAAAAUGUCAAGUUGAUGAAAAGAAAAUCUGGAAUGAAUUUUCACCACGUCUAGCUCCAAUUAUAAUUGACAGUGAAAAAUGGGGUUUGUUGAAUUCUGUUAGACAAGAGAUCCUUUACCAUUAUUGAUUAUUACUACGCUUUUGACCAAAACAAAGUAACAAUAUAAAUGAAAUUUGAAAGCAAUCUACCACCCAAAUCAUAAACACAGACAGAGAACAAAAUUUGAAGAAAUAGAACUUACUCGCUAACCAAGGCUUGUUCUUUAUGUACGCGGUUCUUACAUGUCAACCGCCAUAUGAUGGGUCGAUGCAUAAUGUUUGCAUAACAGAAGGUUACAUACUAAGCAAUUGCCCAACUUCCAGGAUCCACUUCUCAUGAUCCACAAGGAUUACAAAAUUACGAAGAGUCAAUGAACUUCUGAUCUAAUAACAAAUACUUAAAGAAUUUGGGAACUAUAUUUCGGUUGAGUUCCUUUUUCUUUUAUUGAUACUAUUUGGAGACUAUUACAUGUUCUUGUAUAACCUGUAAUUUACACGUAGUCUAGUCUUUAAAGUCACAUACCUUGUGUGCCUUCUCAGUGCAUUCCAUCCACCCUUGAUGAGCACCCCUAGUGAAGCACCCUUGCCUGUGGCAACCUAACUGCUGUAGGGGUUGCCUUUAGCCCCAGAGCACGGUCAGGCAACCACCAGCACCCUAAAUGCCAACUGAAGGCAAGCUCAAAAGCAUCCAUUCUUUGGUCUCCAGCUUCUAUGGUAAAUACCUGCGUCUUCCAGGGACGAACCACCAAGCCUGUUAUAAAUGCUGUCCAGACAACCUGAAAUUUGAUGUUUUUUUUUUAAAGGAUCAAUUUUCUCUAGAGAAACUCAAAAUGGUACAUUUGAGUAAAUAUGAGUGACAACCGUGGCCUAUGCCUGUCAUCAAACCUCACUUCUAAUUUUGGGAACGAGUGAAAAAUACAUGUCACCCCUAUCCGUAUCCACUUUUGAAGGUUUGUACAGUUUGCUUCAAGCAAGCAUUGAAAAUAGGGGGCUUUUCGGCCUGAGUCGAACUUUGUGCCUCUGUACAAAAAGGUGUUUACAGUAAAACAAAAAAAAAAUCCAGUCAAAUAUUGCAAACUAAAAUGGGAUAACUGAAUUUGUAUCCACUUCUAAAAUGAAGUAAGAUUUAGAAUAGUAUUUUAGUUUUUCUUAGAGUCAACAUAGUGCAACUAAAAAUGGCAACUGAAUUUGUAUUCACUUCUAAAAUGAGUAAUAGUAGUAUAGUAUUUUAGUUUUUAUUUGUGUCCUUUCUUUUAAAAAAAAAACAGCAACAGGAGGUGAUAGGAUACAAUUCGUGGCAUGUUUUGAUACUCAUCGUGUUACUCAAACAAAACACAUUCGGAGAAUGAUGGGUUAGUCAUGAUAGGGAACUCCAUAACUAUACCCACUGAUGUAUGCAGAUGGGAAAACAGUGACCGAUUCCCCCCCCCCCCCCCCGAAAAGCAAUAUGCAUUAUGGCUGAUGUAGUUCUCUGCUUAUAUCCCCACGUAAGUACCACAUUAACUUCUUUAACUCAUAAUUAACAAGUCCAUUUUUCCCACUCCUGACCCUAUGUUAUUAUAGGUUGGAGUGACGUAAACUUUAGCAUAAAAAUGCAGGAACUAUUCACUAUCUUUUAUUACAGAUUCAUUAGGAAAGAACCACAAACGUUCUCACACAACCCAAAACCACUAAGGAUUCAAGACCAAGGGGAACAUGAAACUCCGUGUAGGUUACAAAAACCUUGAUAUCUUGUCCACUAGCUUCUGAACAGAGUGCGCUGGCAAGCUGAUCAGCUCAACUAACUGAACAAUUUGGAAGGCAGUCUCUGGCCAACAUGAUUGGCCCUAAACCAUUAAACAUCCAUUCUCAUUCACAGUCCACCAUACCUGUUCAUAAUGUUAUAAACAUAUCUAUUGUUUUUUUCCAUUGAAGCAGUUUCUAAAAUCUCUCUAUAAUCAAAUUUAGAAAACACAAACCAUCUGUACCUUGUCACCAUGUCCUUUUAGCUAUUGGCCUUGCUUCGCCUUGAUCUACUUUCAUUCACAUACUGACCAUUCAAUGACAACAACCGUCAAUAGGAACCUUUUGUCCCCUGGAACAAUCUAAUUAUGCAUCCCUCUGUAUUAUUGAGUGCUGAUUCCAGCUCAGAUAUCACUUACAUCAUCAUCCAUUGUUAAUAGGGUAAGAUUGUGUCAGGAGCAAGGUCUGUAAAACUUGCUAAACAGCAUAGAUGUCUUUCCUUUGGCCAAAACCUCUAAAUAUUUCCUAGCGAAUAAAGGCUAUUAACACAGCCACUAGUCUCAAAGAAAUUCUUCCCCCUCGAACGUAUCUGAAGUAAAGCUUUAUUGAUUAUAUAUACAGAGUAAAAGUAGCAGCAUUAGUUGCCAAUGAAAACCACAAGAACGUCCAUAUUAGCAGAAUUUCGUCCUCAAGCAUGAUAUGAUCCCACAUAAACCGACAAAGAGAUCCAACACCAGAGACGAUGAGACUAUGAUUAUGAAUUUGAAACAUAUCAAAAGAUGAGACAGGAAAUAAAAUAAUAUGAUUGAGAUAAAAAAUAAAAAUAAUCCCUACCUUGGGCCAAAAUAAAUCGCACCGGGAAGUGCAAGGAUCCAUCUUAAAAGCAUCCCCAGAGUGAGCAUGUUGUGGGCCUUAUAGUCUAACCAAUUACCAUAAGGCGAGUGAAGCAUUGGAAGUACCAUGGAGAAACUGAUAACGAGAAUGAAAAUAGGCAGCUCCACAAAAACUGGGUUUUGUACAUCUGGAUUUCAAGGGGUUUUCGUUUCUCAUCGUCUUGUGGAAUGUACAAGCUUGCAUGAUACAAGUUACGGCCAAACACCGCGCUUCCCAAUGCACUGUAUAAGAGACCUUGGACGGGUACUGUAGGGCUCAUAGCUAACAGUAACCUUGUGGUCUUUCACGUCCCAUGCAUGGAUUUAAAACCUUCCAUUGACUCUGGGAUGAUUUGAUCACAGCAAAUAGUCAGGGGAAUGGAUCCUUCAAGCUUCAGGUGCAGUUUGGUUCAUAUCGCUUCCAGAGCUGAUAAGACAGCGCCAAAUCCAGGCAUCCUCACUGCCUCAAUGAUGUGGUCAGUAUUGGUGAUAUGUGGAUCAAAAGUGGACUUUUGCUUUUUCAAGGCCAGACCACACUGCUUUUUUCACUCCUUCAACAUAUUUAAAAGGCACGUUCAGUAGAUUCCGAAAGCUCGCGAUGGCAGCCCUUUAAUUCGAGUCGGCAUAUGCUAUGUUUGCUCUGGAAAUUCAUCAACUUCAAAACUGAGUCUUUCCGGUUUCUUUAAUAUGUUUUUGCCUAAAAUGAAGUCUCAUGGUAAAUGUCAGAUUAGAUGCCAAAUUCAACAGAUAACUAUAAGGAAUCCACCAGAAAGUAACGUCUCCGUAGAUAUAAAUAUUGGUAAAAACCGUGAACUAGAUAGGAUCAUUCAAAACCCAAACACAAGCUGCUUUUUUCCAAAGAAAAAUUAUAAGGAGAAUCCACCUUCCGUUUGAACUCUGUUUGUUUCGUUCCUUUGCAUUUGAGAAGGUUUAAACCCCAUGAUCUGCUCUAGCCUCUACAACACACGUGACAGAACAGAGAGAUAGAGAGUCCAAUGAGGUAUUUACAGAUUUGUGCAAAAAACAAAAAUGUUCCUCCAUUUUUUCUCACUAACCAGUAAUAAUGCUCAAUCAAAUUGGUUCGAAUGCAAAGCAAGAAAAUUGACAUCUUGGACCCACCACUCCAAUCCGAAAAUCUUCUACAAUUCCUCCUUUUUUAAAGUUUAAAUUUCCUUUUUCCUCUGAAUGACAACAACACAGGUAAACCAAUGUUGCAUUAAAUAGUUCAUCCAACCAAUCCAGGAACAAACUUUUAGACAUAAUAAGCUUUUUUUAUGAAAAAAAAAGGUUAAGUGCAGCAUCAAGUAAACAUUAAAAACAAAAAUCAAGUUAAUGUUCUUAUUUAAUUAUUCUGGUCAUAGAGGUUGGAAUAUAACCCAAAGGUUGUGAGCACUGCUACAUGCACAACCCUUCCACACACGACUCGAUCACACACCCCUCUCACUAGGGCCGGGCCCGGCAGGGUAUAGGCCCCACUGUGGGAUCCUGAAGGUGUGCAUGUAGCUUUUGCCAAAGGUUUGGCUUGGCACAACAGAGGAAGUUAUCCAAAAUCUCACAAUUGUCAUAAACCACAAACCAGAGAAUUUCAACUAUACAUCCUAAACUUUGACUUACAGUGAUGAUGUCUGGCAAUGUAUCUGCCCACUGCCUGGCCUUCAGUUGCGAUACCAUAAACGCUACAACACCACUAAGAUUUCCGAGCACGGAUUUCAUGUGAAUUUGAACAAGAUCACACUUGAAUCCCUUAUUUUUGAACAUAAUCACUUAGUUUUUCCUUAUCUCCAUUAGAAGUUGGACGGGAUAUACUGACUGCAAACACUGUCCUGAAGAUGGCAGAAGCGUGCCUUCAGAUCAUCCUUUCCAUUAACUUUACUUCCAUUUCGUGUCCCAAACUUCAAAUCGUCAACCCUGAACAAGAAGCAAACAUAUACAGAUACUACGCAAACUCUUUUACUGUUAUAACUAUGUUUAAACAAUUUGCUCAAUGGUUAUGAGACAUUUAUCACAAACAAGUCCAAUAUCAUCAGAAGAGACACUUGCCAAAUAGAGCCAAUAAUGAAUUCAAAAAAUAUAAUCUAGUAACUGACAAUCAUUUCCAAUGUGGCACAAAAGGCAAGCAUAAAUAUAAAUUCAGAAGUUAACAAUUUUUUAGAAGUUUGCGUUUCCAUCCUUCAAGUUUUCAAUAAAGAAACAUGUAAAGAAUAAUGAUAGAUAACAUACAUAUACAAGUAUGUCGAGAGUUCAUUUUUUUUUCAGUAGUUUUUUUACAAUACUUGAAAAAAAACUGUGAACUUACACGGAGUACAAAUAUAUGUGUUCUAUCAUGGGUAGUUAAUAAUGUGUGGGUUGUGGGUAGUUUUGGAAAGUGGGGAUGUGUAUUGUGUAUUGAAGGUUGAGUGGAUGAGCCUUACAGAUGAAUUGCGGGCAAUGUUAUUGGGAGUAGUGGGGGUUGGGUUUAGAAUCUCCAACCGUAUCAAGUCUAUGUAUGUAUAGCAAAUCUAUCCCUUCCGCUCCCUCCAUCCAAAGAGAGUGUAAGAGUUUUAUCUUAGCCUCCGUAUUGCCUAGAUUUUUUGGCAGUAUUUUGGAUUUCUGGUUUUUUGGUUGUGCGGAUGACUUUUUACCCUAAUUUUUCAUGGCCCAUUUAGCCUAAAUAUUUUUAAUAAACACAGAAGCCUCUAGCCAUUAGUGAUUUUUUACUAAUUCAUGAAUAAAAAAAUAAAAGAUGUUUAGUCAUCCUAAAUAAAUGAAAAAAAAAAAGUUAUUUUUUAUCUCACUUGUCAUAUUUUAUAUAUAAAAAAAAUAAUUAAGCCAAACAGGGCUUCAUUCGAAUAAGUAAGUCUAGGUGGCUUAAAAUCACAACUCCAAUCACAUCCCUUCCCAUAUCCACCCAGCCGCUUUGGGCCCCCCACAAAACCCCAAAAGGGCCCCCUCCUAUUAUGAGUUAUAGAGUAUUUUAACCCCAAUAAAAAUAAAAUGGCCCCCAAAAAAGGGGCUCUCCUAUUUGUUUUUUUAAUUUUUCAAAUCGUAAGAGGCCGACCCUCCGAUCUCUGCUGAAUGAAAACCUCAAAAAAUUCAUCACUGCUAAUGAAACCCUAGAAGGCCGCUCAACUCCAAGCCGUUGUCGCCGAUCCUCCGAAGUCCGAACCGCCAGCGCCGACAUACUUGCAGGGACAACUGGUAAGGCUUGAGUUUUGCGAUAUCGUAGCCAAAAUUGGUCUCAGGUAUGUUGUUCAUAACUUGAUUUGAGCUUGAUUAGGUGUUAUUAAAUUAUUUUGCGUGUUCUCACUCAUGAAGUGGGUUGAUUUAGGGUUCUGUUAUAUUACUAUGUUCAGAUGUUCUUAGGGUUUUGGGGUCCUAAAUCGAUUUUGUGUUUAGGACCCGAAAAUCUCAGGCUGGGCAUGCCCAUAGCAGAGUCCACAGGUGUCCCCACAGCACACGUGUACUCCACUUUAAAACGGUUAAACCCCCAAAAUUGUAUACAAUCCGCUAAUUUUCACAGCGGUCAUAAGAUUAAUAAAAUAAACUAAUUUAUAUAGUCAUCCGAUCACAAACCGUUAAAAUUCACCCGCCGCAAAGAACAAAAUCAGUCAUGUAUGAUAUAAAACAGGAUCCAAUCAUCCCAUCUAAACAUCAACAAAAAAACAAUUAUCAAAAAUAAUUCUAGAAAUCCACAACAUGCACUUGUACCUAUAAUUUGUAGAAACCAAUAUAGGAAACGUGAAAUGGAAGAAGACAAAUUCAAUCACACAAGAAACAAAAAGCUCUGCGAACACAAAAUCCACUGGCAUACUAAAACGCAUAGAUACAUGCGCAUAGCAGGAACAAGUACCUUUAUUGACGAGUUAUCGCUAUCUGAUUGCAACGACCACGUGAUGAUGCGAGAUUGAGCAAGAAGAGGAUUUUGCUCGGGUUUUGCAGACCUUUUCAAGAAAAGGAAAAAACACCAGAUAGAGAUAGAAGAUAAUAGAUAAAUAGAGAGAGGGGGAGGCACCGAGGCAGUUCAGUUGUAUGAUUGGAACGGACAUGAAAAUUAGGGUUUAUGCGAAGAUGAGAGAGAGAGAGAGAGAGAGAAGAAGAAGUGCGGGGGUCAGAAACAGAGCCAAAGCCAAAUUCUUCCCAACCGCGAAAAUGUGUCUGCCGGCUAGAGAGUCGUAUUUGUCCUUUCUAUUGGUCUCUCCUGUCGGUCCACUCCCUUCCUUCCCUUUUAAAAAUUCGUAUGAUUACAAUCUCCCAAAUUCCCACCAAUCAUCCACUCUCAAACACGACAGGAGGGAGGGAGGGAAAAUGUUUAAUUUUAUUUAGAUUCUCGUUUCAUUUGGUUUCUCUCUCCUCUCUCUUUCAAGGAUUGUUUAGUACCAGUUUUUUUAUGGCUUUCAUUAAAUUAUAAAACCAAAAAAUUUAGAAGUUUUUUGUGUUUAAUCUAAAAGUAAAGCAGAAAAGCAAAAAAAAAAAAAUAAUAAUUGGUUUCAAUAAACUUAAAAAAAAGGACUUUUAAACCAAACGGAGUUAAAUCUUAAAUCUCCUCAAGAUUUUAGAGAGAGAGAGAAAUCAAAAUAAAUUGAAUGAAUAAUGAAUGAUAAGAUUAAAUUUUGUGCGGAGAGGAGAGAGAAACCAAAAUAAAGGAGAAUUUAAAAAAAGAACAAGAAAUUAACUUGGGUUAGACUCGGUGUCUUGAAAAAUAAAAUAAAUUAUUUUAUUUGUUAAGUGGUGUUUUUCCUACUGUUAUAAUAAAACUAAAUAAAAAAUAAAAAAAGAAGAAUAAGCUGCAGAGAGCAAAAUAAAAAAAGAAUGGCUUGCAUAAAUAAGAAGAAAAAAAAAAGCAAAAAAAAUAAUAAAUAAUGGGCAAAAUAUAAUAUACUAUAUAUCUCUAUAUAUAUAUAUCUCUCUCUACGUUCUUUUUAACAUGACUUAGUUUUAGUUUUUUG